AUUGAUUAUACAUUAUGUUUCCAUUGGCAUAGCUUAGAACAAGAUCAGUGAGGUUGAAGUGAGGCAGUUGAAACAAAACUGGGGUAGCCUUGUUUGACAGAUGUUAAGAUUCGUAGCCAGCCUUGUACAGGUAGCUUCUUGAGAAGGCUACGGAAAAACAGGUAAAAGUAAUUGCAUAAAGCUUGAUUCAUACAUGGGGGAAGAAAUACCUUGUUCUUCUCAUUAAGUACUCUUCACAAACAAGUAACUUUAGAGUCUUGAACAGAAUGUAAUUUGAACCUCUGCUAUGAUUGAUUACUUGUGAUGCUUUGCAGAAUGUAUUCAAGUCAACAAAUUGGAGUGGUUUAUGUUAUGAAGAACGAGAUGUGAAAUUGAAUUUUAUAUAUGAUAGAUC